rnacentral:rRNA from 1 species
GAUGAACGCUGGCGGCGUGCCUAAUACAUGCAAGUCGAGCGAACAGAUGAGGAGCUUGCUCCUCUGACGUUAGCGGCGGACGGGUGAGUAACACGUGGAUAACCUACCUAUAAGACUGGGAUAACUUCGGGAAACCGGAGCUAAUACCGGAUAAUAUAUUGAACCGCAUGGUUCAAUAGUGAAAGACGGUUUUGCUGUCACUUAUAGAUGGAUCCGCGCCGCAUUAGCUAGUUGGUAAGGUAACGGCUUACCAAGGCAACGAUGCGUAGCCGACCUGAGAGGUCGGUCCCCGAGAGUGGAACUGCGCCACGCUCCCCAAGCCUGAGGGAGGAAGCAGUGAGGCAUCUUGGUAAGUGGGCCGGAGCCUGAAACACCCAAGUAGCGUGAUGGAAGACGGGCAUAUGAUUUGUAACUUUAUGAGAGAAGAAAAUAAAGUGGGUAACGUGUCACUUUUUGCAUGUACCUCAUGAAUAAGGACCCGCUCGUCCCGUC